CUACGUGCCAGCAGCCGCGGUAAUACGUAGGUGGCAAGCGUUGUCCGGAAUUAUUGGGCGUAAAGCGCGCGCAGGCGGAUUGGUCAGUCUGUCUUAAAAGUUCGGGGCUUAACCCCGUGAUGGGAUGGAAACUGCCAAUCUAGAGUAUCGGAGAGGAAAGUGGAAUUCCUAGUGUAGCGGUGAAAUGCGUAGAUAUUAGGAAGAACACCAGUGGCGAAGGCGACUUUCUGGACGAAAACUGACGCUGAGGCGCGAAAGCCAGGGGAGCGAACGGGAUUAGAUACCCCGGUAGUCCUGGCCGUAAACGAUGGGUACUAGGUGUAGGAGGUAUCGACCCCUUCUGUGCCGGAGUUAACGCAAUAAGUACCCCGCCUGGGGAGUACGACCGCAAGGUUGAAACUCAAAGGAAUUGACGGGGGCCCGCACAAGCGGUGGAGUAUGUGGUUUAAUUCGAUGCAACGCGAAGAACCUUACCUACUCUUGACAUCCAGA
rnacentral:rRNA from 1 species